rnacentral:rRNA from 1 species
UACAGAGGUCUCAAGCGUUGUUCGGAUUCAUUGGGCGUAAAGGGUGCGUAGGCGGCGCGGUAAGUCGGGUGUGAAAUCUCGGAGCUUAACUCCGAAACUGCAUUCGAUACUGCCGUGCUUGAGGACUGGAGAGGAGACUGGAAUUUACGGUGUAGCAGUGAAAUGCGUAGAUAUCGUAAGGAAGACCAGUGGCGAAGGCGAGUCUCUGGACAGUUGCUGACGCUGAGGCACGAAGGCCAGGGGAGCAAACGGG